CCUACGGGUGGCAGCAGUGGGGAAUAUUGGACAAUGGGCGAAAGCCUGAUCCAGCCAUGCCGCGUGUGUGAAGAAGGCCUUCGGGUUGUAAAGCACUUUCAGUGGGGAAGAAAGCCUUGGGGCUAAUACCCUCGAGGAAGGACAUCACCCACAGAAGAAGCACCGGCUAACUCCGUGCCAGCAGCCGCGGUAAUACGGAGGGUGCGAGCGUUAAUCGGAAUUACUGGGCGUAAAGCGCGCGUAGGCGGUCUGAUAAGCCGGUUGUGAAAGCCCCGGGCUCAACCUGGGAACGGCAUCCGGAACUGUCAGGCUAGGGUGCAGGAGAGGAAGGUAGAAUUCCCGGUGUAGCGGUGAAAUGCGUAGAGAUCGGGAGGAAUACCAGUGGCGAAGGCGGCCUUCUGGACUGACACUGACGCUGAGGUGCGAAAGCGUGGGUAGCAAACAGGAUUAGAUACCCCGAGUAGUC
rnacentral:rRNA from 1 species